rnacentral:snRNA from 1 species
GGAUGUGAGGGCAAUCUGGCUGUGAUACCUGUCACCCCAGCAAUCACCAGGGUUGAUUAGGCUGAUGCAGCUGUCUAGGCAGGAGUCCCCUUUCUUCCUUACCUCUCCGUGGGCUUCCCUCCUGAAUCUGCCGACUUGGUCGAAAAGGAAGACCAUCUCCACCAAAGAAGGAACAUUCUUCGGUCAAGAGCAUAUGAGUAGCUGUGCUCCCCUACUAGAACCUCCAAACAAGCUCUCAAACUCUGAGGUUGCUGUCCCAGUGCCAAAUCAGGCUUGGGAGUUGAGGCAGUUGUGAAGUCUCAGAACUACAUCCAGAUAAAGCACAGACAGUGGAGAAAGCAUCCAGAAUUGAGAAGUAUCUUAUGGUGUAUUCU